rnacentral:misc_RNA from 1 species
GAUGAAGAACGUAGCAAAAUGCGAUACUUGGUGUGAAUUGCAGAAUCCCGUGAACCAUCGAGUUUUUGAACGCAAGUUGCGCCCGAAGCCUUUUGGCCGAGGGCACGUCUGCCUGGGCGUCACGCAUCGCGUCGCCCCCCACAAUUCUCCGUAAAAGGAACAUGUGUUUUGGGGGCGGAUAUUGGUCUCCCGUGCUCAUGGCGUGGUUGGCCGAAAUAGGAGUCCUUUCGAUGGACGCACGAACUAGUGGUGGUCGUAAAAACCCUCGUCUUUUGUUUCGUGCUGUUUCUCGCAAGGUAAACUCUUUAAAAACCCCAAUGUGUCGUCUCUUGACGACGCUUCGACCGCGACCCCAGGUCAGGCGGGACUACCCGCUGAGUUUAAGCAUAUCAAUAAGCGGAGGA